rnacentral:rRNA from 1 species
UACGGGGGGGGCAAGCGUUGUCCGGAAUCAUUGGGCGUAAAGCGCGUGUAGGCGGUCCGGUAAGUCCGCUGUGAAAGUCGGGGGCUCAACCCUCGGAUGCCGGUGGAUACUGUCGGGCUUGAGUACGGAAGAGGCGACUGGAAUUCCUGGUGUAGCGGUGAAAUGCGUAGAUAUCAGGAGGAACACCGGUGGUGUAGACGGCUCACUGGACCGUAACUGACGCUGAGACACGAAAGCGUGGGUAGCAAACAGG